AUGUCGAUCUCACAUCUAUUUAAAGCUUUUCUUCCCUUUCCCCUCAGAGCAGGUGAGACUGGGCCGGGCUGGGGUUUCGGAUGGAGGCUGGAGGCUGGGCGGGGUGAGGGGCAGGUGCCAUCGGCUCCGACUGCCCUGCUCCCGCCCUGGCGCGGCCCUCGGAGCGGAGAUGGGUGCAGGGAGGGAGAACAGAGGUUUUCUUCACACCCACCACUGCGGGUGUCCUUCUGUCUGGCUGGCCCUGCCGAGCCACCACCGGCAACCGGGUGGGAUCCGUUGUCCACCCUCCUGGUGGUCAGACAGGAUGUCCCUGGCCUCCGAGUCAUACUUGGACUGUUCUGCGUUGGCCGCAUCCUCGAUGGCAGCCGAGGGCGCGUCUCAUCGCAGAACGCUGCGUCGCCCCCGUUCGCGAAGGUGGGCUUGGAAUUCCGCAGCCUCCCCGGUGCACCACACCCUCAUCCGUCUUAUCUAUCGGUGUAUCUGCCGGACGGACAUCACUGCUCGAGCAGAAUCCGCGCAUCAAGCCCAGGAACCGUGGUUCUGACGGCCCAGGGCCAGGCGUCCCGGCCGCUGCCUGAAUCAUUGAGGACACCCCAGCGGGCACAUCUUUCUGAACCGGGGCAAGUCGCCUUUGUGGGCUCACUUCGCUCGUCCGUCACGAUGAAGGACCCUGGUGAUUAUUCUAGGACGUGGGUUGCUAUGGUGACGGGAAAGGGGGACUUUAGGCAGAGCUGACUUCCCUCCGUCUCCCUGCCUUCCUCCUCUCCCUCAGCCCCCUCUGAGAUGGUGCCCCUGCCCUAGAGAGCCCUCUUCUGUCUUCCUGUCCCCUGCGCCGUGGCUCCGGUCCCGGGGGUUCUGCAGGGUCCGAUGUGGAUGCCCGCUCGGGGAGCCUCCCGAACCAGCCCUGCGUUAGGGCUAUUUUUCCGGCCCCUUCUGCAAACAUUGCUGAUCCUGGUGAUUUGCAGAGUGCUGUGUACGCGAGUCACUUCCAAUCUGUUCCUUGGUGGCAGGACGGGCCCUCUGGCAGCUUCUGCCUCCCCGCCUGGUCUUCUGUCUGCUGCCCUCCCCGUGGCCCACGUUCCUGCCAGCUCUGGGACCUGAGGGGGCCCCUGGAUGUCCUGCGGGAUUGCCAUGGCAGCGAGAGCUUGUUUCAGCCCUUAAGGUGGUGUCUUCAUUAAGCUCCUCUUGGAAAGAGCUUGGGCUGGAGUCUGCAAGCUGCAUAUUGAAGCAAGUCCGCUAAUGUCAAAGUGUGUCUCCGGGUGAGACUCCAAAUCGAAAUAUCCUCAGAACUUCUAACAAGUUAGAUAUCGUUUUGUAUUCAAUUUAUCAUUUUUUAAUGGUCUGUGAUUUUUUUUUUUUUGUCCUGUUUAAGAAAUAUCACUGCUGUAAGAUUACAAAGAUAUUCUCACAUCUCCCUUUAGGAGCUGAAUGAUGUCCUUUUUUUUUUUUAAUUGAAAUAUAUUUGACGUGUAACAUUGUGCAAGUUCAAGGUGUUGAUGUUGAGCUACAGGAGCAAAAUGGGCCAUCCCAAAAUGCAUCUCUUUGGCUUGUGGAUUAUUUGGGGCUAAUUAUUUUUGAGAAAGAGAAGACUCAGGAAGGUUUUCUUUUUCAUCUCCCGCCUAAAUGCCUGAAAGAAUUUACGCAGAGGACCUGCUCCAGGAAGGGAGCUCUCACCCCACCCAACUACGGGAGCACAUGAACUAGGAGUGGCCGACAGGGACGAGCCCAGCAAGGC
rnacentral:lncRNA from 1 species